GGGUGCCCGGCCAGCCGCCGGGAGAAUAGACAAACAGGUGAAAUUCCUGUGCGGGACCGCCGCCGUAACGGCACCAGCCCCGGCCCAUCGACGCCACUGCCCUUUCGGGGCGGGAAGGCGGGCCGGCAGGCGAUGACGCCGAAGCCGGAAGACCUGCCCUGUGC
rnacentral:ncRNA from 1 species